UUUCGUACCUCCUUGUUGCUGCCGCUGCUGCUUCACGGUCAGCUCCAUACGUGCCAAAGUUGCACGUCGUGCCGAACACGGGGAAGUGCCGCCUGCCCCUGUUAUGCCUCCACAACUAGAGAACUCACCUUCCAUCCAACCCUUUUUGUCCCGGUUGACUUUGGACCUGGGACUAAAGGCAUAAAAAUGAGCCACCGAGGGGGGAGCUUUAGUCCUUGUUGAAAGACCAAUCGGGAAUAAAACCCCCCUUUAGUCCCGGUUGUAAUGCCUAGUGGGACGAGGGGGCUCCAACCGAGACAAAACAUCCCUUUCUAGUUUCCACAUGGUCCACCUCUCUCACUCCACCUUAUCUUCUCCUCUGACCUCUCCCUUAUGUCUUCUCUCACGCCGCCCCCUCCCCUCCCUCUCUUCACUGCCCGCCACCCCCUCCCCCUCCCUCGCGUCGUCGCCGCCCCUUCCCCUCCC
rnacentral:lncRNA from 1 species